GAAAUGCGAUAAGUAAUGUGAAUUGCAGAAUUCAGUGAAUCAUCGAAUCUUUGAACGCACAUCGCGCCCGCCAGUAUUCUGGCGGGCAUGCCUGUCCGAGCGUCAUUUCAACCAUCAAGCCCCCGGGCUUGUGUUGGGGACCUGCGGCUGCCCGCAGGCCCUGAAAACCAGUGGCGGGCUCGCUGUCACACCGAGCGUAGUAGCAAUCACCUCGCUCAGGGCGUGCUGCGGGUUCCGGCCGUUAAACAGCCUUACAAAACCCAAGGUUGACCUCGGAUCAGGUAGGAAGACCCGCUGAACUUAAGC
rnacentral:misc_RNA from 1 species